AUGUGCCCCGGCAGCACGCUCUCUUCUGCUAGCAUUCCCAUCCACAGAAUCGGAGUAGAGCUAGUCCAAAGCUAAGCGUCGAAGCACACAUGGUGAAAUGCGCAGGCCUCUGCCACUUGAGCUUGCAGUACUUGCAAGUCAUCCCUUGGCAAUGCCUCCCUAUGGAAGAGACAGCGGAGAGCGAGGUAACGCAGUGCUCUGCUAGACCACCGCGUGGUCCCUCAGCUCUCGCUGACGCCCACACGUUACCUAGAUAAAUCAGACAGACAGUUCUGCUCCAGCCUCUGCACAUCAGCCUGAUCCAGCCUAGAAGCCAAGUGGCCCUAAGCACGGUGUUAUCCUACAGCUGAAGUCCUGUCACGUUCUCCUCCUGCGCAUCCCCAGAUCACGCCUUCUCAGACCCGACUUUGUCUCUCCGUUGCCAUUCCCUUCAUCCGCCUCCUCUCUCUCCUCCUAACAAAUGCCCAAGUAUGAUCUUCAGAAGCUUAUGACUUUGAUCUUCUGGAGCAGAGUUGCACAGGAAUUUUCCUCUCCCAUAUAAGCUUUCCACCUAGUAAGACAGGCGCUGAGUGCCAAGAAGGUACUACGUGCUGAAGUCAAACAUCUGUGGCUGGCUUGCAGGGCUGACUCAUCCCGGCCUUGCAACCUCCCUCUCGCUCAAGUGUCCGUGUCCCAGCGAGAGUUUGCAGAGGAACCACCAGCGCUUCUGGCGGAAAGCAAACAGAGACGUAUAGCUGCAAUUUACUGGCACUGCUGGAAAGAUCCCAAGCUGUUUCUUCCACUUUUCCUUUCUUUUGGUAACAUUUAUGCUUCGCUCCCUUCCCCUGAGCAGUGUGAGGUGGCCGGGAGUUGCAGGAGACUCCUGCAAAAUAGACAGGGCAAUAGUCAGUGAAAGUUUUCCUCGUCGGUCUGGUGGCUUAUCUCCUGCUAAUCUCCUGCUCUGACCAGGGCUAAGUGGGGGAAGAAAGAGCCACGAGUAACCUUCACGCCUAGUACCUGAAGCAUAAAAUUAAACAAUUUCUCAGCAACAAGCCCAACGAUGUUCCUACUGGUAAGGAGCUGCUUAAGUUCCAUGAGACUUAAGCUUGUGUUUAGCUGAAAGGACAGGUAUUUUAUAGGAAUGCCAUUUGAACCAGAAUCAUUUUCUGGGUAAUUUAGUAUAUCAUUUCACAUUUUGAAACAGAUUAAUAUUCUACCAAGUGGCUUUUAGCAGGAUUUGCAAAGCUAGGCUGCGAGUGCUUCUUGACAUGCUGCCACACAAAGGAAGACUGGACCUCUUCCCACCGAGAACCGCUCCUCCGAAACACGGCUUUUGGAUGAGAAGCAAACAUUUUCCUGUUACUCAUGAUCUGAAUUUCAUCAAAAUAAACAGAAACUAUCACAGAGAAUUGCAGUAUUUCCCACCUCAUACCUACGUUCCCACUACAUCAGACCGCAGCCUGGCUGUGAUACUCACGGUCAGGGAUGAAGAGGUGCUCCGGCUUCCUCUGCAUUUCCACGCAAACUGCUUGUUGGGAUGACGGGUGGGUGCAGAGCUGCUGCUUUUUUCUCAGCGAGUCGCUGCGGUGAGCUGGAGAGCUGCUUGCCCCCCGGCUGACAAUUUGGGAGAGCCAAACUUUCUGGGUGACCGCCCCCCCUGUUUCUGAAACAGGUUAGCAAUGUGCUGGGUUUGAAACCAAAGCACGUUGUCAAAGUUUAUAUUCUCUCCCUCUGUCAAGAGAUUAAAAGCACUUAUUUAAUGGAUCAUUGAGUUCAGAGACUAUGCAAGAUGCCUCUUUCACAUUUUCAUCUAUAGAG